rnacentral:rRNA from 1 species
AGUGAACGCUGGCGGUAAGCCUAACACAUGCAAGUCGAACGGCAGCACAGUAAGAGCUUGCUCUUACGGGUGGCGAGUGGCGGACGGGUGAGGAAUACAUCGGAAUCUACUUUUUCGUGGGGGAUAACAUAGGGAAACUUACGCUAAUACCGCAUACGACCUACGGGUGAAAGCAGGGGAUCUUCGGACCUUGCGCGAUUGAAUGAGCCGAUGUCGGAUUAGCUAGUUGGCGGGGUAAAGGCCCACCAAGGCGACGAUCCGUAGCUGGUCUGAGAGGAUGAUCAGCCACACUGGAACUGAGACACGGUCCAGACUCCUACGGGAGGCAGCAGUGGGGAAUAUUGGACAAUGGGCGCAAGCCUGAUCCAGCCAUACCGCGUGGGUGAAGAAGGCCUUCGGGUUGUAAAGCCCUUUUGUUGGGAAAGAAAAGCAGCAGGUUAAUACCCCGCUGUUCUGACGGUACCCAAAGAAUAAGCACCGGCUAACUUCGUG